AGGACGAACGCUGGCGGCAUGCCUAACACAUGCAAGUCGAACGCUCUUGGGGCUUCGGUCUCAGGGGAGUGGCGCACGGGUGAGUAGCGCGUGGGAACCUGCCCUGUUGUGGGGGAUAACCGAGGGAAACUUCGGCUAAUACCGCAUAAGCCGGUUGUCUUGAAGGAGAUGGCCGGGAAAGAUUUAUCGCGACAGGAGGGGCCCGCGUCGGAUUAGCUAGUUGGUGGGGUAACGGCCCACCAAGGCGGUGAUCCGUAGCUGGUCUGAGAGGAUGAUCAGCCACACUGGGACUGAGACACGGCCCAGACUCCUACGGGAGGCGAGCAGUGGGGAAUAUUGGACAAUGGGCGCAAGCCUGAUCCAGCAAUGCCGCGUGAGUGAUGAAGGCCUUAGGGUUGUAAAGCUCUUUCGCCCGCGACGAUGAUGACGGUAGCGGGAGAAGAAGCCCCGGCUAACUUCGUGCCAGCGAGCCGC
rnacentral:rRNA from 1 species